UUCUUUAAGUGAGAAUAGCUGUCUGAUGAAAGUAUGAAAAUCAAAUACAGGAUAAAGACAAAAUAGAGGUAAUUACUUUGGUGAUAUAAUUACCAUCAUUAUGGGUAAAAGCAAAUUAACCACACAUACAGCAAUUUUUCAUGUUAAGUUUCUCAUUUCAGUUUACAAGCAGGUUUUAUUUUACUUUCCCCCACACCUUCUGGGAGCAGCUGCAGUUAGUGCCUGCCUGUUCAGGUACAAUACUUCUUCCAAAACUUGGAAAGAGCAACAAAACCCACACAUAUCUUGUGUAUCAAGACAUAUUUAAGGCUGCCUAUGAGACUGCACGCUUUCCACCUUACCUUGUCCUAAUCUGGUAUUGAAUGGCAUCACAGCAGUACUGAGCAGGAGCUAAAGGAGGUUUGGGUCUGUACAACCAUCCCCCAGCUCUUCCCAAGGAGCUCAUACAACCCAAUCUGCUUUUCACAGCCUUAAGAUUCUCCUUCUAGUCCAAGAACUGAAAUUAUCACAGUGACACCAUGAAGCCAUCUUCACUACUACACAUCUUUCUCUUUUGUUGUAAAUAGAAUAUUUCACCCAGAUGAAUUCAGGGGUUUAUGCUACUGAGCCAAAAUUCCUCUUCCUCCUCAUUCGUUUGCUUCUAGAUACCAUCAGGAAGGAAACUUCAGGAAGUCUCACAUCAACUUCCAUCCUAAAAGACUUAAACGUUCACUGAAUGGGCUGUGUUUAGAGAAAGGUAACCAAAUCAGCUGCUUCACUGCAUCUAAUGCACUUUAAAACCACCAAAGAUAUUUUGGUUGCCACUCCAGAAGACAGUAAGUCUUUCAUUAGUCCUGUGUCACUUCUGCUAUCCCCCUGCAGAGGAUUCCAUCUAGACAAAAGAAACAAGCUCUGUAGAAAGGAUUCUCCACAGCUAUUAUGCCAUCCUGCAAUUAAAUAUGUUUACAAUAUGUCUUGUACUCAGAUCUUCUAAUAAGCUCCAUACUGCAUCAAUGUGAUUUGAAUCUGGGACUCUCCAGUCUUCCUCCUGCAUCUCUGUUCCCAGAAAAUCACAACCACCUUCUCUGCUCAAAUCUCUCCUCAGAAAUAAAGAACAUAAAGGCCUCA